rnacentral:rRNA from 1 species
AUUGAACGCUGGCGGCAUGCUUUACACAUGCGAGUCGAACGGUAACGGGCCUUCGGGUGCUGACGAGUGGCGAACGGGUGAGUAAUGCAUCGGAACGUACCCAGAGGUGGGGGAUAACGCAGCGAAAGCUGUGCUAAUACCGCAUGUGAUCUGAGGAUGAAAGCGGGGGACCGAGCAGCAAUGUUUGGCCUCGCGCCUUUGGAGCGGCCGAUGUCGGAUUAGCUAGUUGGUGGGGUAAAGGCCUACCAAGGCGACGAUCCGUAGCUGGUCUGAGAGGACGACCAGCCACACUGGGACUGAGACACGGCCCAGACUCCUACGGGAGGCAGCAGUGGGGAAUUUUGGACAAUGGGCGCAAGCCUGAUCCAGCAAUGCCGCGUGCGGGAAGAAGGCCUUCGGGUUGUAAACCGCUUUUGGCAGGAACGAAACGGUGUCCGCUAAUACCGGGCGCUAAUGACGGUACCUGCAGAAUAAGCACCGGCUAACUACGUG